AGAUGUGAUGGUGAUCUGGCAGCGACAUCUGUCACCCUAUUGAUGGCCAGGGGUUGAUUCAGCUGAUCUAGCUGGCAAGGCAGGUAUCCCCCUCCUCCCUCACCGAUCCAUGUGCCUCCCUCCUGAAGCUGCAUGCUAGGUCUAGGUCGAAGAGGACGACCUUCCCUCCAGAGGAGAGAACUGGUAUUGGGUUAAGGGUAUACGAGUAGUUGCGCUCCCCUGCUAGAAUCUCCAAACAAGCUUUCACUCACAUUUUAGCACUGCCGUGUAUAUUGUGAAUGUGGUGUUAAUGUGUUGGCUUGCCUAGA
rfam:Myotis davidii contig37423, whole genome shotgun sequence.